CACUGAAUUCUCCAGCUGCAUUUUUCUUACUGUGCCUAGCUGUAAAUUUCUUUUAUCAAUGGAAAUGUAUUUUCAGUAGUUUGUGUGUGUGUGUGUGUG